CACGUAGGGCGCAAGCGUUGUCCGGAAUUAUUGGGCGUAAAGAGCUCGUAGGCGGUCUGUUACGUCUGCUGUGAAAACCCAGGGCUUAACCCUGGGCUUGCAGUGGAUACGGGCAGACUAGAGGCAGGUAGGGGAGAAUGGAAUUCCCGGUGUAGCGGUGAAAUGCGCAGAUAUCGGGAGGAACACCGGUGGCGAAGGCGGGUCUCUGGACAGUUCCUGACGCUGAGGCACGAAGGCCAGGGGAGCAAACGGG
rnacentral:rRNA from 1 species